AGGCCUGUUAACAGAAGUCCAGUGUGUGUGUGUGUGUGUGUGUGGCUAAUGGCUGACUAAUGCAGCGACAGCAUGAGGGAGUAAACCCACCUUCAGAUACUGCAGCCGCGCUUCCAGCUCGGCUUUUCGGAUCGAGUCGCUGUAAACCGUCUCCAGCCUUUAAGUGAGAAAGCAGAAGAAGAAGAUCAAAGGCUCGCCCGGAUGAGCUGGACGAUCUCUUUGUGCCGAAAUCCCUCCACGGAGGCUUCGUUCACACUCGCGAUGGUGUCUCCUGCUCACACACACACCAAACAGAAGAAGUGUGUUAACCAGCAGCCGUCAGGAUGCACGUCAAUCCUCUGUGGCUUCAGUUCCUGCGAAGCUGAACCGAGGCUGGUUUGAUUCUAAAUGAAUCCUUCAAACAUGUGCAACGCAAAUGUGUGAAGGAUUAAUCACAAUUUCCGAGAGCAUCAUCAACCACACGUCAACAUCGUGUUGUGUCUGAGCCUCCGUCCAAACACCAACAUGUUUGAUCUUCUAUAAUGUAGAUGAGAUCAACAGAUACAGAUAUAGAGUUGGUUUGUUUACUGAUGAGAGUCCCACCCGUGGAGCCGUGUGAAGUUAUUGGACGCAGCGUGGACUCUUCAGGCGUGACAGCGGCCCUUUGUGAGCUCUCGGCACAAAGCCUAUUUUCCUCUUUCAAACGACGACGCCUCCUCUGCCUAAAGCGAUGAAGUCAUUGUGUUCGCAGCAAGACGCUGGGAACAAAAGAGCGAGCACGCGAGGAAUGUAGGAAGUGAAACUGAAGUGACAUGUGCAGGUCGGACAGCGGAGGAAGAUCAAAACAUUGAGUUUUUUUCCAUCGGGCUCCGAGCGGACAGCUUGUGACUGAACGGUCACAAGUUUGAAAACCAGAGAGAAUUUAUAGAAGCG